UCUGGUAUGGUACCAAUAGUGUAUAUUCUCAUCAGAACAACCUAGAUAAAUCUCUGGCUGCAGAAAGCACUACUGCUUUACCUCCUAUGAGAGCACCAAAAGAGCUUGAAAUCUUGUUGUCGAUCUUUUGAGAAAUUACAGAAUAUUGCUAAAGUUUCAAGCAGAAUACACACAGAGUAAAAUGACAACAACCACUGUACAUAAGAGGAAAGCAUGCUAAUGAAGCAAAUCUGAACUGAGAAGAAAAAUACUCUGAAGCUACUCCUAAUGCUUUGCCCUCCGAUGUAUGAAACUGGCAUGACUUAAAUUAACAAAAGAGGAUGUUCAUAUCAUCACUCACUGUUUCCAUUGGUCUGAAAUUUGGGUGAGGCUUGGCUGCAGAGCUUUGGCUCAGGACCCUCGUGAGUUAUUUCAGAAGGAAGAUCUUGAAAGCAUCUUCAUCACUUGUCUGGCACCUGAAUUGGGAAGCCUUGAACAGCUGGGACUCCUUGGAUAUAUCCUUAUCUUUAUGUAGUUUCUCCAUGUGGUCACUCCACUAUGGCACCUUUAGGAUAGCCGAGCUUCUUACAUGCCAAUUCAGGGCUCCCACAGGAUAGGUCUCCAGAGAAAGCAGAUGGAAGCCAAAAUAUACUCCCAAAAUGCUCACUUUGAAACAAGAAAUAGUAUAACUUGGUUAAAUAGAAAGAUUCCUGGAUUACAUUACCAUACUUUUAAAUGCUUUUAAAAUAUUUCUAAAAUGUAUUGGUAAACUUAACUUUUGCACCUUUUUAAGUUCAUCUUCAUAACAUAAUAGAUAAUUAAGGUCUCUGUGACCUCUAAAGAAUAUGAUUACAUACAUCAGUUCUUGCUAAAAAUAAUUGUAGAUGAAGAUACAGAGUUAAAGACUGAACCAAAUGCAUACUCCACAACAAAUGUUUAAUAUCUUUUAAAAAUAAUUUCACCAUCUGAACUUAUUUUUUCUUCUACUUGCCUACUUCCAAAAAUAAAGUAGCUGUCCAAAAAAUGCAUUAGACUGAGAAGUUGGUGAAGGGAUUCUAAUUGCAUUUGAACAAUCAUUCUGUGAAAGCCACAGCACCUGUGUUGUUACGUUAUUUCACUUAAUCUUCAGGAGAACGUUUAGUGAUAGGAAUCAUUUUUACAAGUUUACAAAAAGGAAAAGGAAGGUUUAGAAAGUUUAGUUAACUUGCCUAGGUCCACAGGCAAUAAAUGAAAGUAGUUCUCUUUCCUGACUUGUUAUUUCUAGUACAUAAGGUUGCUUCAAAUUCUAGUUACCCGGAUCCUAGGUAUUGGAAAGUUUUCAACAAUAUGAAAAUAUUAUUUGCAACUGAACCUUGUA